CGAUAAGUCUGCCACCAAUGAAAUUUGAGAUGGGCGUGGUUUUGACCUUUGGUCUGGGGCAGGGGCAGUCCUUUUUGGAGCCAAGCCGGCUUGGACACGCUGCUAACAGAAGGUGGUCUGUCUGAUGAGAAUGAGUCAGUAUAUGAAGAGGAAAAUGAAGAUGACAAUGAUGAUGUGCCACGCUUACCCCGGUGGAGAACACCCCACAGUGCCGUUUGUUGAAAUAAAACUUCUCAUGAAUUUA